rnacentral:rRNA from 1 species
UACGUAGGGUGCGAGCGUUGUCCGGAAUUAUUGGGCGUAAAGAGCUUGUAGGCGGUUUGUCGCGUCUGCCGUGAAAAUCCGAGGCUCAACCUCGGACUUGCGGUGGGUACGGGCAGACUAGAGUGUGGUAGGGGAGACUGGAAUUCCUGGUGUAGCAGUGAAAUGCGCAGAUAUCAGGAGGAACACCGAUGGCGAAGGCACUCUACUGGGCUAUUACUGACACUCAGAGACGAAAGCUAGGGGAGCAAAUGGG